rnacentral:rRNA from 1 species
CCUACGGGCGGCAGCAGUGAGGAAUAUUGGUCAAUGGGCGCGAGCCUGAACCAGCCAAGUAGCGUGAAGGAUGACUGCCCUACGGGUUGUAAACUUCUUUUAUAAAGGAAUAAAGUGAUGCACGUGUGCCUUUUUGUAUGUACUUUAUGAAUAAGGAUCGGCUAACUCCGUGCCAGCAGCCGCGGUAAUACGGAGGAGUCGAGCGUUAUUCGGAUUUAUUUGGGUUAAAGGGAGCGUAGAUGGGUUGUUAAGUCAGUUGGGAAAGUUUGCGGCUCAACCGUAAAAUUGCAAUUGAUACUGGCAGUCUUGAGUACAGGUGAGGUAGGCGGAAUGCGUGGUGUAGCGGUGAAAUGCUUAGAUAUCACGCAGAACUCCGAUUGCGAAGGCAGCUUACUAAACUGCCACUGACAUUGAUGCUCGAAAGUGUGGGUAUCAAACAGGAUUAGAUACCCUAGUAGUC